UUUGCUAGGUUUUCUGCGAAUCUGUUUUAGCAAAUUAUUUAUUUUAUUAUUAGUAGGUAUAGCACUGAAUAUUUUUUUUUCCAUAAAAGGAAUAAUAAUUUACCUUACCAAAAAAAUUAAUCCCCAAAAGGCCAAAAAGUUAAGGAAAAAAACCGAACUUUUGCCAAAAGGGAAAAAGGCCAAAGGGAAACCGCCCCAAACCGGUAAAAAAAAAGUAAGGGCCCCCCAUUAAUAUUAAGUGUGGAAAUUCCCAAA
rnacentral:rRNA from 1 species